rnacentral:rRNA from 1 species
AUUGAACGCUGGCGGCAGGCCUAACACAUGCAAGUCGAACGGUUGAAGGGUGCUUGCUCCUGGAUUCGGCGGCGGACGGGCGAGUGAUGCAUAGGAAUCUGCCUGGCUGUGGUGGAUUGGGUAAGGACACGGGCGCUCUUACCGUAUUCGUCCUGCGGGCGUACGUGGGUGAUCUUCGGACCUCAGGCUAUUAGAUGAGCGGAGGUCGGAUUAGCUAGUUGGUGGGGUAAAGGCCUACCAAGGCGACGAUCCGUAACUGGUCUGAGAGGAUGAUCAGUCACACUGGAACUGAGACACGGUCCAGACUCCUACGGGAGGCAGCAGUGGGGAAUAUUGGACAAUGGGCGAAAGCCUGAUCCAGCCAUACCGCGUGUGUGAAGAAGGCCUUCGGAUUGUAAAGCACUUUAGUUUGGAAAGAAGGGCAGUAAGUUAAUACCUUGCUGUUGUGACGGUACCAACAGAAUAAGCACCGGCUAACUUCGUG